rnacentral:rRNA from 1 species
AGUGAACGCUGGCGGCAGGCCUAACACAUGCAAGUCGAGCGGCAGCGCGUCCGACCACCCUCGGGUGGUCGGAUGGCGGCGAGCGGCGGACGGGUGAGGAAUGCAUCGGAAUCUGCCUCGUUGUGGGGGAUAACGUAGGGAAACUUACGCUAAUACCGCAUACGACCUACGGGUGAAAGUGGGGGACCUUCGGGCCUCACGCGAUGAGAUGAGCCGAUGCCGGAUUAGCUAGUUGGCGGGGUAAAGGCCCACCAAGGCGACGAUCCGUAGUUGGUCUGAGAGGACGACCAACCACACUGGGACUGAGACACGGCCCAGACUCCUACGGGAGGCAGCAGUGGGGAAUUUUGGACAAUGGGCGCAAGCCUGA